ACGCAAUAGAUACCCGGGUAGUCCACGCUGUAAACGAUGAGUGCUAGAUGUUGGGAUCUUUAGGUCUCAGUAUCGGAGCUAACGUAUUAAGCACUCCGCCUGGGGAGUACGGCCGCAAGGCUAAAACUCAAAGGAAUUGGACGGGGCCGCACAAGCGGUGGAGCAUGUGGUUUAAUUUACGAAGCAACGCGAAGAACCUUACCAGCCCUUCGUACAUGGGGAGUCAUAAGCUCUUGAGAGAUCAGAGCGUCGGUUCGGCCGGAUCCCGCACAGGUGCUGCAUGGCUGUCGUCAGCUCGUGUCGUGAGAUGUUGGGUUAAGUCCCGCAACGAGCGCAACCCUUGUCUUCAGUUGCCAACAGGUAAUGCUGGGAACUCUGGAG
rnacentral:rRNA from 1 species